CCAAAUAUCUAAACGGAGAAAUUCAAUAUUGCCCGCCUCAAAACGACGCAAUGUGCACUUUUCUCUUAGUAGGACGCCGUGAUCCAUUAGAAAUUGGCACACGCCAAGUGUGCGGUGGGUCAUCAAUAGGCCGGCGUGAAGUUUAUCCGGAACAAAUGGCGCGAUCCUUAACGGUUGCGUGUAUUGUCUGGUAAGCGCGUCCGUGUCCUGUAAUGACUGUCUGAUGGGUUUUAAAGAUUGUCAACGGUGCCMCGGCAUCGACGCCUUCGGGCGUAGCUGACAUAUCCGAUCGACGGCGGUUAAAUUUGGGAUACCUUUUGGACCCGUCUUGAAACACGGACCAAGGAGUCUAUCUAGUAUGCGAGUAAAUGGAUAGUUAAUGAAAUCUAUUUGCGUAAUAAACGUGACUGUUUCAAUGGGAAUACGAUUGGAUAGCCGCAAGGCUACCUUUCUUCCUUCCCGGGGUAUUUUCAUCCACAUAUGCGCAAGYAUAUGGAAAAUAUACCAUGAGCACACUGGAUACGACCCGAAAGAUGGUGAACUAUGCCUGAUCAGGUCGAAGUCAGGGGAAACCCUGAUGGAGGACCGAAGCAGUUCUGACGUGCAAAUCGAUUGUCAGAAUUGGGCAUAGGGGCGAAAGACCAAUCGAACCAUC
rnacentral:rRNA from 1 species